CGCAUAUGUAGUAGAAGCUUAGUUCACUAUCGAAUCCCCAAAUCAAACGAAGCCAGGAUUUCUUGUAUGUAUCAAUGAUGUAAACUAAGUAUCCCAAUGAAGCUAUAACAAGUUGGACCGCAAGAAAAAUGGAUAAAAUGUCUCUGGUUACGAAAAAUCGGAACUUCAAAGUCCGCCAUUUUCUAUCAUCAUUAACGUGAACUCUCAGGUGAUAGGGAGCUUUGCAAGUAGUGCAAUGGGCAAAGGCAAAUCCUUCCUUGACAGCACGCCAUUGAUCAAGGCACUCACGAUGGACAUACUUUGAUGUUCCCUUGCACUUGCAAGGUGCUAUAAAGUCCCUACCGUCAGAUUCGAGGCAAAUACGGCAUUGAAUAUGUUCAUCAGGACCUGCUUCAAGGUCUAUAAUAUCAUCAUCAUCAUUAAUAUUAGGUACAGUAAUUACAGUAGGAGGGAUCAGAGGAGAAGAUUCUUCGGGUUCGG
rnacentral:misc_RNA from 1 species